AGCGAACGCUGGCGGCAGGCCUAACACAUGCAAGUCGAACGAAGUCUUCGGACUUAGUGGCGGACGGGUGAGUAAUACGUGGGAACGUGCCUUUAGGUUCGGAAUAACUCAGGGAAACUUGUGCUAAUACCGAAUGUGCCCUUCGGGGGAAAGAUUUAUCGCCUUUAGAGCGGCCCGCGUCUGAUUAGCUAGUUGGUGAGGUAAAGGCCCACCAAGGCUACGAUCAGUAGCUGGUCUGAGAGGAUGACCAGCCACAUUGGGACUGAGACACGGCCCAAACUCCUACGGGAGGCAGCAGUGGGGAAUCUUGCGCAAUGGGCGAAAGCCUGACGCAGCCAUGCCGCGUGGAUGAUGAAGGUCUUAGGAUUGUAAAAUCCUUUCACCGGUGAAGAUAAUGACUGUAGCCGGAGAAGAAGCCCCGGCUAACUUCGUGCCAGCAGCCGCCGUAACAC
rnacentral:rRNA from 1 species